rnacentral:ncRNA from 1 species
AAAACAAAGCAUUGCGAUGGCCCUCGCGGGUGUUAACGCAAUGUGAUUUCUGCCCAGUGCUCUGAAAGUCAACGUGAAGAAAUUCAAGCAAGCGCGGGUAAACGGCGGGAGUAACUAUGACUCUCUUAAGGGUCGGCCUCCUCAGCUCUUGAUACCCACUUCGGUGGAUUCUCUGGGCUGGGGAUCAGGGCCCCCUUAUAGAGAGUCGUAGUCGGGGCAUGACGCGCAAUACAUAGCCUCUCAUGUCCAAGUCGCACAGCUACCUCCACGUGGUACUCCUGGUAACGUCCUCGGACGGCCAAAUGCUGUUGUGGCGUCUUUUCCCGGGCAUGACUGCGGCUCGGACCGACCCAGGUCGGUGCCAGGCGGGACUGUUCCGCCCAGUCACCACUUCCGCGUCCUCACCUGGGGCGCGGGCCCGCCGAGCGGGCGCCAGCGGUAACAUUCCGCACCGGGAAACACGCGGGCUUGGGUUAGCUGCCCCCGCCCGCCCUGAAGUAAAUUGCUUUCGACAAGGAAGGACAGGCCUCGGACGGUGGGCGCAGAGGUCUC